rnacentral:lncRNA from 1 species
UUUUCUCUCUCGUCUCACUCUAUCUAUUUUCCCGUUGUCCCUCAUUUAACCAUCCCGCCAGGAGAUGAUCGAGACGAGGUGCCACCACCAGAAGAAGUAACACAACGUUGCCAUCUGUCGUUGCCCAACGUUGCACUUGUCGCUACGAAGAAAAAUUUGGAGACUGUUUUGGGGUUUUUUGGUCGCUGGUAGAAGAGAAAAUUUGGGGAGGGAGUUUGGUUUUUUUGGGUGAUUUCGUUCUUCUCAAUUUGAGAUACGUAGUCGGAGCCGCUGUGUAGAGCCAUAUUCUCGUCUGUAAUGGGAAAAUCUGGUGGGGGUUUUGGUGUGGUGGAGGUGGAGGUGGAGGUGGAGGUGGAGGUGAAUGCAUGCGACCAAUUUAAUUGUGUGCUGUGGAUGUGGUGGGUAGUGGAGACGUUGGUCGGUGGCUGUGCUGUGCGGCGACGCUGGUCGACGAUAAGUGUAACAGUAUCGCCACACGCAGAAAAUGUGUGCUGAUUUGUUUAAGUGCAGUGUGUGUGGAAGUGUAUUUGUACAGUGUUGAGGUAUUUUUGUUGGGUUUGUUGGUUUUUGGAGUGGUGGUGGAUACAGCGGUGGUGGUGGCUCUGCUUGUGUACAGCGACUCUGGUGGUUGGAGGUUCUUAACGGUGGCUCUGUGUGAGAUGCUGUGUUGCGGUAUUUUUGUUGGGCUUGUUGGUUUUUGGAGCGGUGGCAGCGGCAGCGGUGGCCGUGAUGGUGUUAUAGUAGGGAUAGUAUUUGUAACCAAGUAUUGGGAUCGGGUGUUUGGUAUCUGUGACCAACUAUUUGAUCCCCUGACUAUUAAGCUGACUUUAAAAUUUGAUCAUUUUGCGACUAAAAAAGUAAUCUGUGACCAUCAAAUUUGAAAGUACGUGACCUAUAAUUUUUUUAAUUUGUGAUCAAUGACAAAAACUAUGAUCUAUAAAAUCGAUAGAUAAAUUGUGAUCUAUAAUUUUUUGAUCUGUAACCUAUUAAAAUUUUGAUUUGUGAUCAGUGAAUAAAUAUAUGAUCUAUAAUUGUGUACAUGUCAUUAAUCGUGUAAUUGUGACCUUAUUAUGUUUAAUUAAUAAAUAUUUUAAAUUAAUUAGAUAAAAUCCUAAUUUUUGCAUUAGUUAAACUUAAAACUUGAAUUUUGAGUCGUGCAUAAUUUAUUUAAUACUAAUAUUUCAAAAACUGAGAGCUACAGAUUUAGCAAAAACAUGUUGAAAAUUGUCAUAUUUUUCAAUUUUUCAUAUCAAUAUUUUUAAUUUCAUUUUUGGAAAAAAAAAAAAUCUCACGGGUAACAUUUGUGUUACCAUAUAUUACUUUUAUAAGUACAAUGUCCCAACUUAAUUGAAUAUUGUAUUUUACUCACAAGUAUAUUUGCAAUUUUACUCUUCGUGCUUGCUCAUGAAACAAUGAUCAUGGUGAUCACAGGUGUUUUAAUGAUAUGGUCAACACACAUAUACAAAAUCCUGCACGACUGCUCAUGGGGCUGGAUAACAACAGAAAUGAGCACCGUGGCCCCAACAAGUAUGCCUGCUUCUUGAUUACAAUUUACAUGCUAAUAUUUUCAUAAUUAUUGCACUCCAAUUCCAAAAUUAUAUUUCGCAAUUUCAUAAUCCAACUUUUCAAUUUCUAAGUGAAUUAUGGAUAGACAUCAUGAGAAUUCUUUUCCUCAAAAUUUAUAAUCCAUCAAUGGCAUGGGUUCAAAACCAAAUUAUGCAAAAAAGAAGUUUUGGAAAUACGACAUGUGAAAUGUAAUUCUACUCUGCAUAUAGAAUGUAUUUUGUAAUUAAAACAAAUAAUUUCGAUCUUGAUCUUAAAUUUGGUAAAAGUAAUUAUUAUAUUAUUAUUAUUAUCGAUAAAAGUAAUUUUUAUUUUAAAAAAUGAAAAAAAUCUAAAAUAUGCUAUUUUGAAUCUCUCCAGGCGGCUGUCGACCACAUUUGCAUAAUCCUACGUGGACUGAAACAGACCAGUUGAAAUCAGCCAAUGCCCACAACCUGAUAAGAUAUAGAUAAGGCCUAGACUCCUACCACCGUCAGAUGGAUUCAUUCCGUCAAUCGAACGGGUACAGAUAAUUUCUCCACCCUAAAAAUCUCUCUCCCCCUCACCCAUUUCUUGCUCUAUAUCCCCCACCAAAAAAAUACCACACACACAGCAGCAACUCUACUUUCUAUUCCUCCAGAUCCUUCCUCCAUGGCCACAACCACCGUCGCCGCCACUACAUCCUCCUUCAUUGGCACACGCCUCACGGAUGCUCACUCCGGAUCAGGCCGUGUUCAGGCCCGGUUCGGAUUCGGAACCAAGAAAGCUCCACGCAAGAAGUCAAAGUCCGUCAGCUCAGACCGCCCAUUGUGGUACCCUGGAGCUCAGGCACCCGAAUGGCUCGAUGGAAGUCUGGUGGGUGAUUAUGGUUUUGACCCUUUUGGUCUGGGAAAACCCGCCGAGUACUUGCAGUAUGACUUGGAUUCUCUGGAUCAGAACUUGGCCAAGAACUUGGCGGGCGACGUUAUUGGGACCAGGACUGAGACUGCUGAUGUUAAAUCGACUCCGUUUCAGCCUUACAGUGAGGUUUUUGGACUCCAGAGGUUUAGGGAGUGCGAGCUGAUCCAUGGAAGGUGGGCUAUGUUGGCCACUCUUGGUGCCUUGACUGUCGAGUGGCUCACCGGCAUCACAUGGCAAGAUGCCGGAAAGGUAAGCACAUAUUUACUCUUUCAACUAGCUAUUUAUAUAUUUAUGAUUUAACAUAUACUAUCUAGCGUCAAUUAUGCUAUUUACUUUCCCUUGAGUCACGAAUUGGCCUAAUAUUAGAUAGUUCGUGCAUGUAUGUGUGUGUUAAUAUUCCUAAAGAGAGACGGUUUUUGUGAAGAAAAAGGUGUUUGUUCAUUCAAUUAAAAAUUAUGCAAGAAAAGUAGACAUAGCACUCCCGUUUUGAGUGAAAAUUACAAAUCCAUCUGUGUAUUUUGCAUGUUUUUUAUGUGGUUUUGCUUAUUAUUUCUCUCGAAAUGGGAUUGUGUGGGCCAAUGGGACGGUCAUGAUUAAAGCUUAAAUAACAAAAUUGCACUAAACUUCAUUUUCCAUUAAGUUGACCUUCUUUUUUUUUUUUUUUUUUUAAUCCUUUCACGUAUGUUGAUGCUCCAUGGUUGUUUAUUUAUCAUCGUUAGUACUAUCUAUGCAAUAGCACUAAUGUGACAAUAAAUGAGAAUUAUAGUUAAAUAAAUUACAUAAUUUCACCUUUUGUUGAGUCUAUUGCUUAGUGAAAUCAUAGCAUUAUUCUUUUAAUAUGGAGUAAUGGUAUUCAAAAUUGUAUGAUUUACAGAAAUUUCUUGAUAAAAAAUUUGAUCUUGACGGAUCAAAAUUUAGAAUGACUAAUGAAUGUACAUUUAACAGGUUGAACUUGUUGAGGGUUCCUCCUACCUUGGCCAACCACUUCCAUUCUCCAUAACCACGUUAAUAUGGAUUGAGGUCCUCGUCAUUGGAUACAUUGAGUUCC